rnacentral:rRNA from 1 species
AUUGAACGCUGGCGGCAGGCCUAACACAUGCAAGUCGAGCGGAGAGGCGGACGGGUGAGUAAUGCCUAGGAAUCUGCCUGGUAGUGGGGGAUAAGGUCAGGAAACGGGCGCUAAUACAGCAUACUAUCAGAUGAGCCGAGGUAGGAUUAGCUAGUUGGGGGGGUAAAGGCGUACCAAGGCGACGGUCCGUAACGUGUCUGAGAGGAUGAUCAGUCACACUGGAACUGAGACACGGUCCAGACUCCUACGGGAGGCAGCAGUGGGGAAUAUUGGACAAUGGUCGAAAGCCUGAUCCAGCCAUGCCGCGUGUGUGAAGAAGGUCUUCGGAUUGUAAAGCACUUUAAGUUGGGAGGCGUUACCAACAGAAUAAGCCCCGGCUAACUUCGUGCCAGCAGCCGCGGUAAUUC